rnacentral:misc_RNA from 1 species
CGCCCUCCGUCCGGGGGGUGGCCAGCGCCCGCCAGAGGACCAUCGAACUCCGGUCAGUGAACGUUGCCGUCUGAAAAACAAUCAAUAAACUAAAACUUUCAACAACGGAUCUCUUGGUUCUGGCAUCGAUGAAGAACGCAGCGAAAUGCGAUAAGUAAUGUGAAUUGCAGAAUUCAGUGAAUCAUCGAAUCUUUGAACGCACAUUGCGCCCCUCGGUAUUCCGAGGGGCAUGCCUGUUCGAGCGUCAUUACAACCCUCAAGCUCUGCUUGGUGUUGGGCACCGCCCUUCCGCGGGCGCGCCUCAAAGACCUCGGCGGUGGCGUCUUGCCUCGAGCGUAGUAGAAAACACCUCGCUUUGGGGCGCACGGCGCCGCCCGCCGGACGAACCUUUUGAACUUCUCAAGGUGACCUCGAUCAGUAGG